AUCAGCAAGUGUUGCUUUAUGUGUCAGGAAUAUAAAAUGAUGACGGAUGAUCUUCCACAGCAUUUGAAAGGGGUCUGUGAGCCCUCGUAGUUGGCUCAUUUUUUAAGGACUAUGUUGACUCAGUUUUUAAUACGACUCUACAUCUUCUUUUACUCCAUGGCAGAUGCAGUCCUGUAACAACUUCAUGAAUUUGAGGUCUUUAGUGCCUGAAAAAAACUAUUCCAGGGUUUUUCUCCAAAGUUUUAGAAGUUUUUUGGGAACUGGUCUAAUGGAAGGAAAAACGUGUGGAAAACAUCUGUCACAUUCCUUAUUUUUAUUAGCUAUUUUACUGAAUAAAACUUGUUGAGGAAAACA